AUAUACUUUUUCAUUCUUUUUUUCUUGCAACUGCUGCCACAUGCCUUAGUAUAACCCAUAGUCUUCUGCCCUUCUCUCUAAAUGUGAGGUAGGGCUGCAACCAAAACACUGAGGACUGUCCCAUAUCUUUGUGAGUCACUGUCUUCUUUACAGGGUCUUUUGGCAUUUUAGUCUGGAUAGUCUAUCCUUUCCAACUUUAUGGGACCCAAACUAUAAUCAUUUUCUGUUUCACAAACUUAUUUAUUGACACCAGUUUGUGUCCACUGCCAUGAUACUAAAACUUUGAGUCAUCUCAUUAUUUUAUUCUUUAUAUUCAUUUGGACACUAUAUCUUGUCACGUUUUCUUUUGGAAUAUAUCUCAUUUCCUUCCUUUUAUCUCCAGUCCAAACCUCUUCCAACUAGGAUAGUACCCAAUAAGUAAACGUCUUUAUUACUAUAGCAGUCUCUGGUCUGUUUUUGCCUCAAAUUUGUUUUACAAUUAAUAGUCUUAAUUGUUUUAUAUUUAAAAUACUAAUUGAGUGGUUUGUUCCACUUUUUAUAUCUCUUACCUAAAAGCAGCUGCAGAAAGACCGAAUUUAUGGUAUCUAUAACAUUAAAGUCCAAUAUGUCUUUUGCAUUUGGAAAAUUAUAGAUUUUUUAAUUUGGGUAUUUUCAACAUCAUCAGGUGCUGUACACCCGGUACCAUGCUCUGCUAUGCUUUGCUUUUCUUCUAUACUCAUUUGACCAAGCUAAAGAUACAGAUCCUGCUUCCAAAGACAAGUACAGAAAAUAGACAGGCUUUCACUAACGUAUACAUUCAGGAGCUUGGAGUUAUUCAUUUCUUCUCCCUCUCAAAUCCCUUCCUCCUUUUUCUAAUGCCUGUAAUUCUGCAACUAGAAACAUACUCUUCUGGGAUUAAAGCUGAAUCCUCAUAACCAUCCACAUAAUCCAGCAAAAAAUAACUGAAGAUAUUUUGUAUUUAAAUUGCAGUUUGGAAACUGAUUUGCAGUAUGUUGCAUUUAGCCAAUAUGGAAUUUAAAAAAAAAAAGAAAGAAAUGGUUGCCCACAUUUACAAAUAUUAGGUCUCAAAUAAAAAUUUAGAUGUCCAGUUUUUCUUAAAAAAUCAGAAAUCUCGUCUUAUUGAGUCCUCAUUCUUGUGUAAUAGAAAUGAAGGGGAUUUCAAUGGUGAGGCAGACACUCUCUGAUUCACCGACUACCUCUGCCUGUCAUCUCACACUGAGUCAGUUUUGCUCAUCUACUUCGCCUGCCAGGCAUUUGAUUCGGAGACCCCUUCUUUAUUUCAUUGGUCAUUUACACCUUAUAAAGAACAAUAUUUGAGCUAGUUUCCUCAGGGCUGGAUUUAAUAGGAUAGAAAUGGAGUAUGAGAGGGAUGAUAUUUAUGGAAAGGGGAGAGUGAGCACUUAGAAUUGACUGCCUUGGGACAGCAAAAGCAAAUAUGACCCAUUUCACUCUUUGGGAAGGUCUUGGCCCUACUUGCUUCUCUACUAUAAGAAUUAUGCCUGCAAAAGAACAUUUUAAGAAAAAGUCAACUUCCAAAUUACAUUCGGAAAGAGCUAGAUAGCUACUAGUUUGGUGGUAACACAGAGUAGUCAAAAAGGAAGAGGCUACCUCAGAAUCCACAGCCUAAGUUAUAUUAGCCAGAGUAACAACAGUAUAGGUUUUCAGUAUGAAUUUAAAAAAUGCAUUCUUAUCCAAGAGGUUUCCUGAGGAUGCUAUAAAUGUUUCUUAGGCCAUAGUUCACUGUUACCAUCUUAUUAUAUGUAACCAGUUGAGGCUGCAACUGGAGAUUACAGCCAAUUCCUCAUACAUUUCUUGGGCCUUUCCAAAAGGAGCCCCCUUGAGGGGAAAAUAACAUUCAGUUAAGUUCAGUCACUCAAUCGUGUCUGACUCUUUGCGAUCCCAUGAACUGCAGCACGCCAGGCUUCCCUGUCC
ensembl:lncRNA